GGGUGGUAAUACCGGAUGCUCCGCUCCAUCGCAUGGUGGGGUGGGAAAUGCUUUUGCGGCAUGGGAUGGGGUCGCGUCCUAUCAGCUUGUUGGCGGGGUGAUGGCCCACCAAGGCGUUGACGGGUAGCCGGCCUGAGAGGGUGACCGGCCACAUUGGGACUGAGAUACGGCCCAGACUCCUACGGGAGGCAGCAGUGGGGAAUAUUGCACAAUGGGCGCAAGCCUGAUGCAGCGACGCCGCGUGCGGGAUGGAGGCCUUCGGGUUGUAAACCGCUUUUGUUCAAGGGCAAGGCACGGUUUCGGCCGUGUUGAGUGGAUUGUUCGAAUAAGCACCGGCUAACUACGUGCCAGCAGCCGCGGUAAUACGUAGGGUGCGAGCGUUAUCCGGAUUUAUUGGGCGUAAAGGGCUCGUAGGCGGUUCGUCGCGUCCGGUGUGAAAGUCCAUCGCCUAACGGUGGAUCUGCGCCGGGUACGGGCGGGCUGGAGUGCGGUAGGGGAGACUGGAAUUCCCGGUGUAACGGUGGAAUGUGUAGAUAUCGGG
rnacentral:rRNA from 1 species